AAAGGAAUUGACGGGGGCCCGCACAAGCAGUGGAGUAUGUGGUUUAAUUCGAAGCAACGCGAAGAACCUUACCGGGGCUUGACAUCCUCUUGACCGGCAUAGAGAUAUGCCUUCCCUUCGGGGCAAGAGUGACAGGUGGUGCAUGGUUGUCGUCAGCUCGUGUCGUGAGAUGUUGGGUUAAGUCCCGCAACGAGCGCAACCCUUAUCAUUAGUUGCUACAUUUAGUUGAGCACUCUAAUGAGACUGCCGUUGGCAAAACGGAGGAAGGUGGGGAUGACGUCAAAUCAUCAUGCCCUUUAUGUCCCGGGCUACACACGUACUACAAUGGCAUUUAACAAUGGGUAGCCAACCCGCGAGGGGGAGCCAAUCCCCAAAAAGUGCCUCAGUUCAGAUUGCAGGCUGCAACUCGCCUGCAUGAAGUCGGAAUUGCUAGUAAUCGUGAAUCAGCAUGUCACGGUGAAUACGUUCCCGGGCCUUGCACACACCGCCCGU
rnacentral:rRNA from 1 species